CUUUGCUGAUUUGUCAACAGACUCUCUAUGUACACCAUCUUCAUCAGCGACAGAAGAAGAGCUAUCAGAGACAACAUUGUUAUUCAUUUGAAGUGCUGGCUCCUUUGAAGUGCUGGCUUGGGAGAUAGAACUGCUAGAUCUUGUAAUUCUAUCAGAGACAACAUUGUUAUUCAUUUGAAGUGCUGGCUCCUUUGAAGUGCUGGCUUGGGAGAUAGAACUGCUAGAUCUUGUAAUU
rnacentral:misc_RNA from 1 species